CGCUCUUUAGAGGCUAUGACCCCCAAAAGAACACUGAAACCCAGCGCGACUAUAACUAUUUCAGGUCUAGGUCAUACGAGAGAUCAGUUGUGAGGUCUGGCAGCUCAGAUACGCCAAGAUCACCUUGCAGGCCAGAUGAAAGGUCAAGAUCAAUUCGCAGAUGGGAUGAGAGGACCCCUACAAGGUCAAGUUGCAGGGGAAGACCCGUGCCGUUCUCUCAUUGCACAAACCCUUCCAUCUCUACAGAGAAUGCCACCAGAAGACUUCCGACUGAAUUUUCAGAGGAGUGUCCCCAUGAAGCUUGACAGCAUUCUUGAGAAGAAGCAGGAAGGCUUGGUCCUAUUGUAGAGGGUGGUUUCUUCCCUUGGCAGCAGUGUGGAGGACAUUGACAAUGUGUUUCCUCGACCCUGGCAGACCAUAGAAGAAAUGGAAAAUAUGUGCACCCAUCUGGAUAAAGAUGCUGACUUGAGGAAAAAAAUGAUCCUGUACCUGAGUUCCAUUGGAGGGACUGACCUGGGAGACACAGUGCCGAAAAUGAUACGCAAGCUGUUUACAAACAAGCUUAUGUCGCGCUACAACAUGAAGGCCAGAAAUGGAAAGCUGAGGUUCCAUUAAAGAAACAACCAAAUGGAACCACAAGGUGACCAGGACAGAGGUGGAGUUGAAAGUAGGGGAGACUGAAACUGGCACCACAUCGAGAGAAACAAAAUCACGUAUGCAGCCAUGACGCCUCCUUCACUUUCCUUCCAUUUAGGAAAGGCUGAACAAGUCCAAGGAAAGGGCAGAAGAUGAGGUGGCCAGCGGACUAAUGAUGAAUUGAUUUAAAAUUAUAUAUAUAUAUAUAUAUAUAUAUAUAUGAUCAUAAAUAAAGAACAUGUUGAUGAAAAUGAAUAGUUGUUGCUCCUUUUAUUUGCUCAAAUUUAUUGUUCACAAAGGUUCUCAGAAGGUUAUUAAAUAACGUUAGGAAGUAACGUUCUAUGAACAAAUAGAGAACUUUCCAUAUUAACGUUUUCUAACGUUACUUGGUAACGUUCUUGUAACAUUCUGACAACAGAAAAUUGUUUGCUGGGUAGUUACGAUUCUUUUUUUUAUGUAUAUGGCUAAAAGUAAAUAAUUUAAAAAUGUAAAAUACAAUGUGUUUAGUGAAGCAUAAGUUACUAUGUAAAUGCUAUUCAAAUUUUUAAAGAUGUAUAAUAAAGCACAUAAUAAAAUGACU